CGAAAACCCUCACACUCAGUCAGACUCACACCCUCACCGGGAAGACCUGCUGGAGAAGGCAAUAGGGAGGCCCAAGGAGAGAGAGAGACAUGGGGAAACAGCCAGUCUGUGGAGCGUCAGAACGUACGUCGACGUCGCACUGACAGAUUAAGUUUGUCGUCUUAUAAAAAGACCUGGACAUCAGUGAGAAAGGUGGAGUAAGGGCCUACAGAAAACUGCUCCUCCAUAAAAGCAAUGAGAACACUGGCAAAAAUUGUAAAUAUCAUCUUUUUAAGAAUAUGGGAAAUUAACCAGAUGCUUGCAAAAUCCAAGGAAUGUUUAUUAAAAAAAAAAAAAAAAACUAAGGUUUGUGGUGUUUUAAUGCACCCUAAUCCCAUGGUCCUUUCCUAAGAUCUGA
rnacentral:lncRNA from 10 species